CAGGUAUUCUGCAUAUGGAUUAAAGUCUGUCAUCAGUUGACUUUAGCUUGUCAUUUUGGCCUGUCAGCAAGGACCCCUCAUGGUUGCAAGAGAGCUGCCAUGGCCUCAGGCAUCACUGCCAUAUCCACGGGUCCUCCUGGCAGACUUCCCCUCACCUCUCUUUGGCCAGAAUUGCAUCACAUGCCUGUUUCUAAACCAAUCUGAAGGAAGCUUCAUGAUUGAGGCUUCGUGAAGGCGGCUUCAUGAUUGGCUCAGGCCAGUCAAGUCUCUCUGGGAGCACAAGGCCACAGUCGGGGUUGAGCUGACAGCAGAUGGGGUGUGGUUGUUUGGAUGGCUGAAUUUGGUUUCUAUCACAACCAUAGCCGAUCACCACACUCUUAGUGACUUGAAACAACACCCACCUGUGACCUCAUAAUUCCGUAGGCCGGAAGUCCAGGCGGGCGUGGCGGGCUUCUCUGCACAAGCUCGCACAAGGCCGAAAGCAAGGCACCCUUGGCCGGGUCUGGACCCCCUGGGAAAGCCCGUUCCAGUGUUGGCAGAAUCCAGCUCCUUUUGGCCGUGGGACCGAGGCCCUAUUUCCUUGCCGGCUGUCAGCUGGGGUUGCUCUCUGCAUUCCUUCACCCACAUUGCUUUCAUCUUCCAGCCAGCAACGACCUGCCCCAUGUCCUUCUCACACUUCACAUCUCUCUCACAGCCUCUUCUACACCAGCCCAGAAAGCUAUCUGCAUUUCAAGGGACUUGUGUGAUUAGACAGGGAUAAUCCCGUCUUCUGGUCAGCUGUGCCACAGAACAUCAUGCCAUCUCUGAGUGACAGGCUCACUUCACUCACAGGCUUUGAGAAUUAGGGUGUGGAACUUGGGGGCCCAUUCCUAGACAUUCUGCCCACCCCCGUGAGGCAGACAUUUCACUGGAAAGAAAGUUAACCUCAGAGAAGUGAAGUGAGUUCCUCAAGGCUGUACCAGCCAGGAAGUUAUGGCUGCAAACAACAGAAAUCAAUGCUGCUCAUUGAAGCAAGAAAAUAACAGCCCUCCCUCCUGGCUACCAUAUAGUAUGCAGUCCUGGCCAUACAAGAGGGUCCCUGUGCCCCUCAGGGUGGUCUUUUUAUCCCCAGCCAGAUGCUUGGUUUCAAUUAUUCUAUAACCUAAUAGGAUUAGUUAUCUUAGGAAAUCCAGAGGUGCUGGCUGGCCUUGGGAGUAAAGAUGAGACCUCAGUUCUCCAGGCUCAUUAAACAUGUUUGCCUCCAUAGGGAGACAAAUUGUCUCCAUAGGGAGCAGAAGUCAUCAGUUAAAUCCGGGGUUAGCAAACUACAGCCUGUGGGCCAGUCCAGCUCCACCCUUAUUUUUAUACAAUCCACAAACUAAGAAUAGUUUUUACAUUUUUAAAUGGCUAGGAAAAAACUAAAAAAGGGAUAUUUCAUGACAUAUGAAAAUUUCAUAAAAUUCAAAUUUUAG
rnacentral:lncRNA from 1 species